UACGUAGGGGGCAAGCGUUAUCCGGAUUUAUUGGGUUUAAAGGGUGCGUAGGCGGUCGGAUAAGUUAGAGGUGAAAUCCCGAGGCUCAACUUCGGAAUUGCCUCUGAUACUGUUCGGCUAGAGAGUAGUUGCGGUAGGCGGAAUGUAUGGUGUAGCGGUGAAAUGCUUAGAGAUCAUACAGAACACCGAUUGCGAAGGCAGCUUACCAAGCUACUUCUGACGUUGAGGCACGAAAGCGUGGGGAGCAAACAGG
rnacentral:rRNA from 1 species